UCCGUCGGCCGGAACCGGCUCCCAGGCGGCGCGGCUGCAGCGGGGCGCGCGGGAAUGCUCAGCGCCUCUCUCCUCCCCAGGGCCGGUCUGCGGGGAGAUGUCCAGGAGCUGAAAGAGAUUCCAUAGGAGGAAGUGGAAACCUCUGGAAAGACAGCCAGCCGAUGGCUCCCGAAACAACUGUGUCCAGCCAGUACACCCGGGCAACUUCAACCUCACUAAAACCCAGCCCCAAAACAUAUAUGUAUAUAUCUGCAUAUAUAUGUGAGAACGAAUGCAAAAGAGCCACUUUGGCGCCUACCCCGCCACAAGUAGGUAGGCACAUCCAAGUAGCUCUGUCAGGGGACCGGACCGGACUUGGCGCCUUGCAGAGGGACGGCGUGGCCCUAUAGAGAUCCAGAAGCCCUAUUUCGAGCGAGUAGUUUCUCUUCUUCUGCAGUCUUCUCUCCAGUGUGGUGAUCUAGCAACUUCACUCCCACUGCGAUUCCCUGUGAAUCCACGCUAGUCGGGAUAUAGCCUCUCUCUGGCCCAGCGACUUAGCGCGCUAAAACCCGGUACCCCACCCGGUAACCGGAAGACCUAGUUGUCCUCCGUCCUGCCUCCGCCGUCGAUAAUGUCCAGGAUCCAAGCAAAGUGCCUGUCCAUGUUGCCACCAGAUCUACAAGCACUUUUGAUGACAGCUGCUGCGCUUUUGGAAACACCGUGCCUCUCCUCAGCAGAGAAGAAUCUGUUCUCCUGGGCUGGCUUAGAAAAAAGAACCAAGACAAAGUAUGUGGACUGCAAACAUCAGCUUCUUCUUCCCUUUUUUUUUUUUUUUUUUUUUUCCUUCUUUCUUUUUCUUUUUCUUUCUUUUUUUUUUUUUUUUUUUUGAGACGGAGUUUCACUCUUGUUACCCAGGCUGGAGUGCAAUGGCGCGAUCUCGGCUCACUGCAACCUCCGCCUCCUGGGUUCUGGCAAUUCUCCUGCCUCAGCCUCCUGAGUAGCUGGGAUUAUAGGCACGCGCCACCAUGCCCAGCUAAUUUUUUGUAUUUUUAGUAGAGACGGGGGUUUCACCGUGUUGACCAGGAUGGUCUCGAUCUCUUGACCUCGUGAUCCACCCGCUUCGGCCUCCCAAAGUGCUGGGAUUACAGGCUUGAGCCACCGCGCCAGGCCAGCUUCUUCUUUUUUUGAAACGUAGUCUCACUCUGUCACCCAGGCUGGAGUGCAGUGGCACAAUCUCGUCUCACUGCAACCUCCGCCUCCGGGUUCAAGCGACUCUCCUGCCUCAGCCUCCCUAGUAGCUGGGAUUAACAGGCGCAAGCCACCACCACCCCCAGCUAAUUUUUGUAUUUUUAGUAGAGAGGGGGUUUCACCAUGUUGGCCAGGAUGGUCGUGAACGCCUGACCUCAAAUGAUUUGCCCACUUCAGUCUCCCAAAGUGCUGGGAUUAUAGGCGUGAGCCACCACACCCGGUGGAAAACAUCAGCAUUUAAUAGCAGUCUCGGAGUGGAGACUUUCAGGAAGUGGUGGAGAUAGGUCUGUUCAAUUAACCGGCCCCAGAUGUCAUUUGUCUGGCUACUUCUUUUUCUUGCCUGGCCUACCUUCUACACCGGUUUUUUCUUUUUCUGCAAAACAUUUUCUGAUGCAACUUGUUCUUUAUUUGUGCCUUUAUCUUUCUUAAACAAGUGAUCCCUGGAAGUAAUUGCCUAAGGAGGGGAGAGGAAACCUCCACCCUGCCCCCAAUUUCUUGAAUGAGAGCUACAUGCUGGCGGGCCAGGUACCAAGAGCAUCUUUGGAUCUUUAGACCUGAGUCAUCUUAUCUGUAAAAAAAAGAGGUUAAAGCAGAUGGACGCUAAAGGCCCAUUUCCAGGCUUAAAUUCAACUUUCAAGAAAAAAAAUUUCUUUUAUAUUCCUGUGUGUAUGUGUGUAUAUAUAUAUAUAUAUGUAUAUAUCUAUACACUUGACUUAGUAAUGUUCUAUGCAGAGAUGCAGAUGAGGAGGACAGUUUAAACUUCUAAGGGUGCCCUCCUUCUUUGGUUGGUUCCACCCAGAUGAGCAAUCCUUUUUGGGAACAGAAAGAGACCCUCGGGGUGGAAAGUACAAGAGGCAGAGAGGCAGGUCUCCUGAACACAGCUGAUACCCAAGUCCACUCAUGGUCACAUGAUUCAUUAGGACUGUAAGUCCUCAUCAGACACAAGCGCCAGACUCUCUGACCCUGCCAAUUCGAGCACUAAUGCUAAAAUCGGCCAAAAGACUGGCCAACAUAUGUACACAUUAAUUAGAGUUAUGUGGGCCUUUGGCUUCCAGUCUGAUGAACAGCUCCAGGGAUGCAGGGGGCAGAGGGUUUGGGGUUCUUUUCACCCAGCAGAUGCCCUUUGGUCCUGUUUCACCCAGCAGAUGCCUUAUUGCCCUUAUUAGGCCAAUAAGGUGGGUGAUAUGAAAGCUAACUCCUUUCAUCGGAUGGCUUAACCUCAGUAACUAAAGCUGAAACCUAGUAGUAGGUCCCUAAGAGGGGCAGGGAAAAAAUAUCUGUUCAGAGGAAACGAGAAUCAACAGUAAGCUUUUGUUAUUACUGCAUCUUAUAUUAUUAUGAGACAGGAGUGCGGAGAAGCCCAACAUGAAAGAAGAGAAACUUUUGGUAUGCAUGGAAGACAUGGAUACUUAGCAACCCUCUCUUGUGGCACUCAACUGUACACACAGAGAAAGUCAUGGCUGUAGUCCAUCUAGAAGCUGAAAAUGCAUGCUUUCAUCAGGAUUUACAAGGAUAAGGGAAGGAGCGUUGGGGGAUGGGGGGAAGCAUGGGCUUGAUCCAACUUAACUGUAAUUCUGACCAGGUACCACAAGUCACAGAGCAUCUCAGAAAGCAGAACUGCCCCCAUCCCUGUCAAGGAAGCCUGUGCAUGGCACUUUCUCUACAAGGUGUAUCUUCUUCUCCAUCCAUAUCUAACUCCUAGAUGGAGGAUAGUCAAGGUCAGUCAUUGUCUGUAUUAGACUUGGGGAGCAAGAGCCCUCAGCCUCUCCAUGGGCCACACUGAUAUAAAUGAAGGUGUCACCUGCUCUGUGUAGGGAAUGAUUUACCUUCAUGACUUUUUGAACUGUAAAGGGCAAAACGUCUGGGGUCUAUCAAGUGUAUACAUAGUUAUUAUAGUGCAAAAUUUGUCUCAAUUGUUUUAUGAUAAAUGUGUAUUUCCCAAUCCCCCACCUCCUUCCAUUAUAACCCAUAUAAACAAUCUAUGGACUAGGACAUGGCAAAACAACCUCUCUUACAAUAGGAGAAAGUUUAUGAGUUACUUAUAUGAUGCAGAACAAUUUAGACCUUUUCAGUUUGAGUUGGAGAGAGGGGACACACACAAAAAAUGAGGGGCCACAUUCCCACAACUCUAGACAGAAUUUGAUCUCACUCUUCCUACUUGCUUCUUUUACUUCUUUCUCCCUUUUUUCUUAUUCUGGUUCCUCAGGUACAGAGAAAAGACAAUUCAUUUGGAGCUCUACGGGAUUAAUAAUUUCACAUGUGCCCCAUCUUCUCAUUCCCAGAUAUUUGAAAUUAUAGUCAGGUGGAAUCUCACACCUUGCCCAAAUUGUAUUUGAUAUGAGGCUCUUCAAAGCUUCCUGGACACCUUCCUUCUUCUCUCCCCGUAUCAGUAGAACAGAUACAACUGGAGCAGCCUGCAUUAUUCUAGAAUUCUAUAGGCAUUAUUGUACAGCCAUGACUUUCUCUGUGUGUGCAGUUGAGUGCCAGGAGAGAGAGUUGCUAAGUAUCCAUGUCUUUCAUGUAUACCAAAAAUUUCUUUUCUUACAUUUCGGGCUUCUCCCCACUCCUGUCUCAUAGAGAUGAUAUUUGCUUUUCUACUCAUUAGGAAGCUCUGAGAAGAGGCAUAAGAAAUAAAUCACAGUGAUGAGGCAACUGGAGAGACUUUCCACAUGUACAUUGUGUGUAUUUUUAAACCAUGUGAAUUACUACCUGUUUAUGAAAAAUUAAUCUGAUUAGAAUAUAUAUGAGAGGCUAGUUGCUAAAUAUAUUUACACAUAAUGCCACAUAUUGAGGAGGAUGUUACCUACUGAAGAUACAGGAUUGAAGAACAUGCAACAACUUUCUGCUUUGCUCAAUGGGUCAUAAGCUGAAAAUCAGACUAGAAGAUAAUAUUUGUUCACAGAAGUAUAAAAUCUUAGGUAAGGCAUAAAAUGCACACUAUUCCUCUCCAUCCUCAUCUUCCCAAAUGGGGAGGCUUGUCAGUUUAAAGCCAUUUGCUCCUACAGUUAAGGGCUAGGGUCAUAGACUUGGAGAACUGGCUGAGCCCUCGGUCCCAAGUGGAAAGGCCAAGCUAGAACACAGUUAAAAAGAAAGAUUGGUGUUGUCUAAUAGAGGUUUGAAAAUAGCUUUUUUUGUUGUUGUUGUUACAAGGAGGACAAGACCUUUUCCCCUAGAAAUGGCUGCCUCUCAGAGCACUGCCCUUCAUGCACAUCCUCUUACACCUGCGCAGACUGAGCACUUUGCCCGCUUCCCAAGGCAUUCCCUAGGUGUAAAAGUUCUUGUUACUAUUGAAACUUUAAGUCUAAAUGAAACAAGGAGGAGUAAUGAUGUAAACUCCUUUCAUGAUGUAAACUCAGAAACAAAGGGAUCAGCUCAGCAGGGUGUUGAACAAUCGACCCCCUCUACCCACAGGUCAUUAAAUGGCUCCUGGAUGCCAAAAGACUUUAAGCUAGAACUGUUUUCCCUUUCAAGAAAUAUGCAAAUAAACAAAUCAGUUCCACCAAA